AAUGAACGCUGGCGGCAUGCCUAACACAUGCAAGUCGAACGAAGGCUUCGGCCUUAGUGGCGCACGGGUGCGUAACGCGUGGGAAUCUGCCCCUUGGUUCGGAAUAACAGUUGGAAACGACUGCUAAUACCGGAUGACGACGUAAGUCCAAAGAUUUAUCGCCGAGGGAUGAGCCCGCGUAGGAUUAGCUAGUUGGUGUGGUAAAGGCGCACCAAGGCGACGAUCCUUAGCUGGCUGAGAGGAUGAUCAGCCACACUGGGACUGAGACACGGCCCAGACUCCUACGGGAGGCAGCAGUGGGGAGUAUUGGACAAUGGGCGAAAGCCUGAUCCAGCAAUGCCGCGUGAGUGAUGAAGGCCUUAGGGUUGUAAAGCUCUUUUACCCGGGAUGAUAAUGACAGUACCGGGAGAAUAAGCUCC
rnacentral:rRNA from 1 species